AGACUCCGGUAUAGCCUAUCACCUUGUCUUUCAGACCCUUGCUCAGCCGAGACUCAUCACACAUUUUCAGCCGGUGAACUAGCUCUGAUACCAAAUGUAACGACCCAGCCCACUAGCAACAAUAAUUCGUUGGGCCCAACCACCGGCCCAAAAUGCUUAAGCCCAGUUAUUAUUACUAGUGUCUAAGUCUUUUAUAUACCC
rnacentral:lncRNA from 1 species